rnacentral:rRNA from 1 species
CUUAGCCUACGGGAGGCAGCAGUAGGGAAUCUUCGGCAAUGGGCGAAAGCCUGACCGAGCGACGCCGCGUGAAUGAAGAAGGCCUUCGGGUUGUAAAAUUCUGUUAUAAGGGAAGAAAGGUGAUAGGAGGAAAUGACUAUCAAUUGACGGUACCUUAUGAGAAAGCCACGGCUAACUACGUGCCAGCAGCCGCGGUAAUACGUAGGAGGCAAGCGUUAUCCGGAAUUAUUGGGCGUACAGAGCGCGCAGGUGGUUAAUUAAGUCUGAUGUGAAAGCCCACGCCUUAACCGUGGAGGGUCAUUGGG